rnacentral:rRNA from 1 species
UUAUUGAAGGGUUUGAUUCUGGCUCAGAAUGAACGUUGGCGGCAUGGAUUAGGCAUGCAAGUCGAGCGGGCGUAGCAAUACGUCAGCGGCGUAAGGGACAGGAACACGUAGAUUACCUGCCCUCGGGUCUGGGAUAGCCACGGGAAACUGUGGGUAAUACCAGAUGAUAUCUCCGGAUCAAAGGUGUGAUUCC